UACAGAGGGGGCAAGCGUUAUUCGGAAUUAUUGGGCGUAAAGGGCGCGUAGGCGGCCUUCUAAGUCAGACGUGAAAUCCCCAGGCUUAACUUGGGAACUGCGUCUGAUACUGGGAGGCUUGAGUGCGGGAGAGGGACGUGGAAUUCCAGGUGUAGCGGUGAAAUGCGUAGAUAUCUGGAGGAACACCGGUGGCGAAGGCGGCAUCCUGGACCGACACUGACGCUGAGGCGCGAAAGCUAGGGGAGCAAACGGG
rnacentral:rRNA from 1 species